rnacentral:lncRNA from 1 species
UAUAAGACCUGCAGUUCUGCUUAGUGAGAUUUAUAGUGGAGUAUUCUAAAUAUUAUUUUUUUCCUGUCAUUAGUGAAUAGUCACUUUACUCUUCACCUCCUUUUCUCCAAGAUGUGUGUGAAUAUAGAAGCGAAUGUGGAUUCACAUUGUGGAACUGGAAGUGAAUGUGGAUUCACAGCAUGGGCUCUUGGGAAACCAGGUUCACUUUCUCAUUCCUUCUCCGUGAGAACUGCAUGAUGAUUUUCCUGCAGGUUACACAUACAGGUGAAAGUGUCCAGACAGCCUCUUAGGACUGAUGAGCAGCAGCAUGGAGAUCAAGGUCCGCAUGCAAAUAGAUUUCAUAUGGAAGAAAAAGUACUAAGGGGAAAACGAAUGCUGUGAAGUAGAAAACUAAGUAUUAGGAUCUUUACAGUACUGUUGAUUGAAAUGUUAAUGUCUCACAGGAUAUAAAAGCAGUUGACAAAUCACAAGUGGAAAGCAAUGAAAAAGAGCCUGAACAGCACACAGAGGCCAAAAAAAGUUGUGGAUACCCCAUCCUUGGAGGCAUUCAAGGACAGGUUGGAUGGGGCCAUAAUCAGACUGAGCUAGUGGGCGGCAACCAGCUCACAGCAGGGUUUGGAACUGGAUGGUCUUUAAGGUUCACUUCAGCCUGAUCCAUUCCGUGGUUAUUGUCCUAAAAUAGGAAAUAAUGGAACUUCCAUGUCAGAUUCCAAAUAAAUAUAUUGAUACCAGUAUGGCACUUGAAGAAUGAUAGUAGUUCAGUUUAUGGAGUAGGGAAGUUAUACAGAGAAUGAAUUUUUCAGCAUUUUCAAAAGGGUCAGCCAGUCUUUUCCCUCUCUGGAGCUGGGACAAAAACAAAUAACUUGAGUUAUUUCUGUAUGUUUGUCUCAUACCCUUUUGCUUUAUACUUCUCAGAAAUGGAGAUUUACGUCUGCAAGGCUUAAGUACUGUUCUCUCACUCAUUGCAUAGUAUGCUUUCACAAGGCAAAGGCGGUGCUACUUCUGGGUACAAAUGUCUGCAAUCAAGGCAGUUUCUAACUCAUGAUUGCAGAUUUCCUUGAAGUCAGCAGGUGUUCUGAGCAUCCUCUUAGAAGCUGACACAUUGAAAGAAGGUGAUGCACUGGAACAGGCAUCCACAACCUCCUUGGGCAGUGGAUACCAGUGUCUAAACAGAUUCUCUUGAGGCCAUAGAUAAAUUGAUUAUGGCAACCUGACAUUGGCACUGGAAAAGACUUGUAAUAGGUAUUAAAAGCCUUUGAUUUGAUCAAAGCUCAUUCGUUACUGUAAAAAGAAGGUGAAGCAUCCUUUUGAGUGAUUGUAACCUGAAUGUUACCAGUUGCUCUACAAGGAAACUUGCUGUGCAGAUAUUCUUAAAUGGCAUAUCUGGUGUAGAAGAUAUUUUGUGCGAUGUGUAUCAAUUAUUGAAUUAAAAUAGAGGAUACACUGAAUAAGUGAAAAAUUAAUUACUUGAUAGCUUUGUUCAGGUUACCUGCAAGGCUAAGCAAGCUUUCUGCAUAGGUUAAUGUACAUCUCCAUUCCAAUCUGUAUGGAGAUGUACAUUAAAAAAACUAUUAGUUACUUUUUAUAUUGAUGAGCUGUGGUUUAUUGCUGCCUUCCUAGUGCUAAUAGAAACCUGAAGAGAAGUAUGAGUCAUCAGAUAACUUAAUAUUUUUGUCACCAUCAUUAUAUCAUCAUAGAAUCAUAGAAUGACUUGAGCUGG